GGUGGCUCAAUGGUAGAGCACUUGCCUUGCAUACCGGAGGCCCUGGGUUCGAUUCCCCAGCACCA
rnacentral:tRNA from 1 species